GAUACCCUGGUAGUCCACGCUGUAAACGAUGAUUACUAGGUGUGGGGGGACUGACCCCUUCCGUGCCGCAGUUAACACAAUAAGUAAUCCACCUGGGGAGUACGGCCGCAAGGCUGAAACUCAAAGGAAUUGACGGGGGCCCGCACAAGCAGUGGAGUAUGUGGAUUAAUUCGAAGCAACGCGAAGAACCUUACCAGGUCUUGACAUCGUAUGCAUAACUCAGAGAUGAGAGAAAUCCCUUCGGGGACAUAUAGACAGGUGGUGCAUGGUUGUCGUCAGCUCGUGUCGUGAGAUGUUGGGUUAAGUCCCGCAACGAGCGCAACCCUUAUGUUUAGUUGCUACGCAAGAGCACUCUAGACAGACUGCCGUUGACAAAACGGAGGAAGGUGGGGAUGACGUCAAAUCAUCAUGCCCCUUAUGACCUGGGCCUCACACGUACUACAAUGGCUGCCAACAGAGGGAAGCAAAGCAGUGAUGCAGAGCAAGUCCCCAAAAGCAGUCUUAGUUCGGAUUGUAGGCUGCAACUCGCCUACAUGAAGUCGGAAUUGCUAGUAAUCGCGGAUCAGCAUGCCGCGGUGAAUACGUUCCCGGGCCUUGUACACACCGCCCGUCACACCAUGGGAGUCGGUAACACCCGAAGCCUGUAGUCUAACCGCAAGGAGGACGCAGUCGAAGGUGGGAUUGAUGACUGGGGUGAAGUCGUAACAAGGUAC
rnacentral:rRNA from 1 species